CACCUUUUAACGAAGAAGAAGAUAUGUUCCCAAAACA
rnacentral:sRNA from 1 species